AUUGAACGCUGGCGGCAUGCCUUACACAUGCAAGUCGAACGGCAGCACGGGAGCAAUCCUGGUGGCGAGUGGCGAACGGGUGAGUAAAGUAUCGGAACGUGCCCAGUCGUGGGGGAUAACGUAGCGAAAGUUACGCUAAUACCGCAUACGAUCUAUGGAUGAAAGCGGGGGAUCGCAAGACCUCGCGCGAUUUGAGCGGACGAUAUCAGUUUAGGUAGUUGGUGGGGUAAAGGCUCACCAAGCCGACGAUCUGUAGCUGGUCUGAGAGGACGACCAGCCACACUGGGACUGAGACACGGCCCAGACUCCUACGGGAGGCAGCAGUGGGGAAUUUUGGACAAUGGGCGAAAGCCUGAUCCAGCCAUGCCGCGUGCAGGAUGAAGGCCUUCGGGUUGUAAACUGCUUUUGUACGGAACGAAAAGGUUUGGGCUAAUAAGCUGAGCUCAUGACGGUACCGUAAGAAUAAGCACCGGCUAACUACGUGCCAGCAGCCGCGGUAA
rnacentral:rRNA from 1 species